ncrna:unclassified sequences Glutamine-II riboswitch (downstream peptide RNA)
AGACGUUCACCCUGCUUUUUAAGCAGGGCGCAGUUCGACUCAGGCCAUGGAACGGGGACCUGGG